rnacentral:rRNA from 1 species
CAUUAGUUAGUUGGUGGGUAAAGGCCUACCAAGACAAUGAUGCAUAGCCGAGUUGAAAGACUGAUCGGCCACAUUGGGACUGAGACACGGCCCAAAUUCCUACGGGAGGCUGCAGUAGGGAAUCUUCCACAAUGGGCGAAAGCCUGAUGGAGCAACGCCGCGUGUGUGAUGAAGGCUUUCGGGUCGUAAAGCACUGUUGUAUGGGAAGAAAAGUUAAGGUAGGGAAUGACCUUAGCCUGACGGUACCAUACCAGAAAGGGACGGCUAAAUACGUGCCAGCAGCCGCGGUAAUACGUAUGUCCCGAGCGUUAUCCGGAUUUAUUGGGCGUAAAGCGAGCGCAGACGGUUGGUUAAGUCUGAUGUGAAAGCCCGGAGCUCAACUCCGGAAAGGCAUUGGAAACUGGUUAACUUGAGUGCAGUAGAGGUAAGUGGAACUCCAUGUGUAGCGGUGGAAUGCGUAGAUAUAUGGAAGAACACCAGCGGCGAAGGCGGCUUACUGGACUGUAACUGACGUUGAGGCUCGAAAGUGUGGGUAGCAAACAGGAUUAGAUACCCUGGUAGUCCACACCGUAAACGAUGAACACUAGGUGUUAGGAGGUUUCCGCCUCUUAGUGCCGAAGCUAACGCAUUAAGUGUUCCGCCUGGGGAGUACGACCGCAAGGUUGAAACUCAAAGGAAUUGACGGGGACCCGCACAAGCGGUGGAGCAUGUGGUUUAAUUCGAAGCAACGCGAAGAACCUUACCAGGUCUUGACAUCCUUUGAAGCUUUUAGAAAUAGAAGUGUUCUCUUCGGAGACAAAGUGACAGGUGGUGCAUGGUCGUCGUCAGCUCGUGUCGUGAGAUGUUGGGUUAAGUCCCGCAACGAGCGCAACCCUUAUUGUUAGUUGCCAGCAUUCAGAUGGGCACUCUAGCGAGACUGCCGGUGACAAACCGGAGGAAGGCGGGGACGACGUCAGAUCAUCAUGCCCCUUAUGACCUGGGCUACACACGUGCUACAAUGGCGUAUACAACGAGUUGCCAACCUGCGAAGGUGAGCUAAUCUCUUAAAGUACGUCUCAGUUCGGACUGCAGUCUGCAACUCGACUGCACGAAGUCGGAAUCGCUAGUAAUCGCGGAUCAGCACGCCGCGGUGAAUACGUUCCCGGGUCUUGUACACACCGCCCGUCACACCAUGGAAGUUUGUAAUGCCCAAAGCCGGUGGCCUAACCGUAAGGAGGAACC